UACGUAGGGGGCAAGCGUUGUCCGGAUUUAUUGGGCGUAAAGAGCGUGUAGGCGGCUUGGCAAGUCCGCUGUGAAAACUCGAGGCUUAACCUCGAGACGUCGGUGGAAACUGCCUGGCUAGAGUCCGGAAGAGGAGAGUGGAAUUCCUGGUGUAGCGGUGAAAUGCGCAGAUAUCAGGAAGAACACCCGUGGCGAAAGCGGCUCUCUGGAACGGUACUGACGCUGAGACGCGAAAGCGUGGGGAGCGAACAGG
rnacentral:rRNA from 1 species